UAAAUCUAAUGGGUUUAGUUUAAUUGAGACUCCCUAUCACGGUCGAUCCGAUGAAGGCAUCUCUCCUGGUACUGAGUCUAUGGUCUGGGU
rnacentral:misc_RNA from 1 species